UACGUAGGUGGCAAGCGUUGUCCGGAUUUAUUGGGUUUAAAGGGUGCGUAGGUGGUCUAUUAAGUCAGUGCUGAAAUAUCCCGGCUUAACUGGAGGGGUGCCAUUGAUACUGCAGGGCUUGAGUGGAGUCGAAGUAGGCGGAAUUGACGGUGUAGCGGUGAAAUGCUUAGAUAUCGUCAAGAACACCGAUAGUGAAGACAGCUUACUAGGCUUCUACUGACGCUGAGGCACGAAAGUGUGGGGAUCAAACAGG
rnacentral:rRNA from 1 species